GGGGAUGUAAUGGUCUCGACGGGGGCAGUCGGAGCAUGGGCAGCGAGCCGGGGGGUCAUCAUCCCGUCAGUAAGGUGAAACUUUUAUAUUAAAUAUAAAAGCAAACGAAGAUUACGCUUUAGCAGCUUAAUGCUAACCUCUGCUUAUCUGAUUCCGCGCGGAUGGGACAGAGGCCAAACGCGGAAUUACUGAGAGCCAAUUCUCGGAGGCUUCUCGGGACACUUUUAUCGAGAUCGGGAUUUUCGAGCCUGCUCACGGGCGCCUGAAUCCUUAAACUGUACAUGAGCUUCGCUCGGAGAAACCCUUGAUACGACGCUUUCGGACAGGAGUUCGAUUCUCCUCAUCUCCACCA
rnacentral:tmRNA from 1 species